AUUGAACGCUGGCGGCAGGCUUAACACAUGCAAGUCGAGCGGAGAGAGGUAGCUUGCUACUGAUCUUAGCGGCGGACGGGUGAGUAAUGCUUAGGAAUCUGCCUAUUAGUGGGGGACAACAUUUCGAAAGGAAUGCUAAUACCGCAUACGUCCUACGGGAGAAAGCAGGGGAUCUUCGGACCUUGCGCUAAUAGAUGAGCCUAAGUCGGAUUAGCUAGUUGGUGGGGUAAAGGCCUACCAAGGCGACGAUCUGUGGCGGGUCUGAGAGGAUGAUUCGCCACACUGGGACUGAGACACGGCCCAGGCUCCUACGGGGGGCAGCAGUGGGGAAUAUUGGACAAUGGGCGGAAGCCUGAUCCAGCCAUGCCGCGUGUGUGAAGAAGGCCUUAUGGUUGUAAAGCACUUUAAGCGAGGAGGAGGCUACUUUAGUUAAUACCUAGAGAUAGUGGACGUUACUCGCAGAAUAAGCACCGGCUAACUCUGUGCCAGCAGCCGCAGUAAUAC
rnacentral:rRNA from 1 species